GGAGGCAUAGCUUAGUGGUAGAGUGCCUGCCUAGCUAAUUCGAGCCCCUGAAUUCAAAUUUUAGUACCACCA
rnacentral:tRNA from 1 species